GUUUGUUCGCCUGGUUUCCAAUGCACAAGCUAAACUUUCCUGCCAGGCUGGGAAAUACCGGGCUCCGGAGUGUAUUGACAACCCCCCUGUAUUAUUGGAAUUUCUGACUUUUUUUCAAAAAGGAUAAUAAAGAAAGGACAGAAGAGAGGACAGAAGAGAGAGGACAGAAGAGAGACAGAUCAGUCAUGUCAGGCGUACUGGGAUGCCACCCAUGCACUCAUGAUCCUCUCCCUGCUGGCCUGCUUCAUUGGCAUCGUGAUCGGAGUCAUGGCUUUCACAUGCUCCUCCUCCUUCAGUGGGUUUGACAAGACGUUUGCUGGCCGGCAUCCUCUUCUUCAUCUAACCACUAGGCAGGUAGCCAAGUGGUUAGAGUGUUGGAUUUAGUGACCGGAAGGUUGCAAGAUCGAAUCCCUGAACUGACAAGGACACUGACUACACUCAGAAACUCAUUGUUCCAGAGAAUGGAAUAAAUCUGAAGACCCGAAUCUUUGUGGGGGUGAAAGCCACCAAUCUAACAGAGAGGUUCCACGUUCUGCUUGACCGAUGCUACACAACAACAAGUCCCGUUCCCAACAACAGCACCUACUAUGACCUCUUUGUUGGGUGAGUCAAUAUUAUUCACCCAGUUUAAUUUCUAUAGAUUUAUGAUAACUCUGCAACUGAAACUGAAGCCUUUUUUGUUUCCGGUCACGGCUAAAUCGUGUAUGAGUACAGUAUGUGUAUGACUCAUAUCUCUUGUCUCAUUGAAGGUGUACAUACACAUGAUGGACAAACCAGGGUCGAGUUGAAUGGAGCGUCUCAGCAUGCAUUUACAUUACAUUUAAGUCAUUUAGCAGACACUCUUAUCCAGAGCGACUUACAAAUUGGUGCAUUCACCUUAUGACAUCCAGUGGAACAGCCACUUUACAAUA